rnacentral:rRNA from 1 species
GAUGAACGCUGGCGGCGUGCCUAAUACAUGCAAGUCGAACGAAUCUUCUUCGGAAGAUGAGUGGCGAACGGGUGAGUAAUACAUAGGUAACCUGCCCCUGUGCGGGGGAUAACAGGAGGAAACUCCUGCUAAUACCGCAUAGCCAUGAGCACCGCAUGGAGCUCAUGCCAAAUAUCCUUCAGGGGAUAGCGCAGGGAUGGACCUAUGGCGCAUUAGCUAGUUGGCGGGGCAACGGCCCACCAAGGCAACGAUGCGUAGCGGCCUGAGAGGGCGGACGGCAACAUUGGGACUGAGACACGGCCCAGACUCCUACGGGAGGCAGCAGUAGGGAAUUUUCGGCAAUGGGGGAAACCCUGACCGAGCAACGCCGCGUGAGCGAAGAAGGCCUUCGGGUCGUAAAGCUCUGUUGUAAAGGAAGAACGUCGCAUGCAGGAAAUGGUGUGCGAGUGACGGUACUUUACCAGAAAGCCACGGCUAACUACGUGCCAGCAGCCGCAGUAAGAC